UUUAAACGGUUGUCAGUUUCAUAAACAGAAGUAGCUAUGUUAUUUCUCUGAAAGCAUUAGAAUCUGUAGAGAUCACGUGGCCUUUUUUUUCACAACUGCAGUGGCUGUCUUUGUACGAGAAGGCUAGCAUCCAUUCUCAGCUAACCGGAAGCUGAUAUGCUGGACGUGGCCAGGCUUGAAUGCUCUGCGCACAUGCCUCCUGUCCUGUACUGCCGCAACAUCUGGAGACAAAGGGGAAUAAUUGCUGGCUAGUAGACGACCAAUAGUAUCCUUCUGUUCCACCUGCUUCAAGAUGGCUGACUCCCAGCUGCUGCGUAAAGAGGAGGAAGGGGGUCAGAAUUGCCUUGUAACACAGGCCAACCUGGAUUAGAGGUAUUCUAACUCUCAGAUCUUUGUCUCUUUCUCUGCAAUCUCUCCGAGCCUCAGAACUAUAUUUCCAACUGCCAAAUAUACAACUGUUUCCUAAGUGGCAGAAGAUAAU
rnacentral:lncRNA from 1 species